rnacentral:rRNA from 1 species
CCUACGGGAGGCUGCAGUGAGGAAUAUUGGUCAAUGGACGAGAGUCUGAACCAGCCAAGUAGCGUGAAGGAUGACUGCCCUAUGGGUUGUAAACUUCUUUUAUAUGGGAAUAAAAUGUUCCACGUGUGGGAUUUUGUAUGUACCAUAUGAAUAAGGUUCGGCUAACUACGUGCAUGCAGCCGCGGUAAUACGGAGGAUCCGAGCGUUAUCCGGAUUUGUUGGGUUUAAAGGGAGCGUAGGUGGAUUGUUAAGUCAGUUGUGAAAGUUUGCGGCUCAACCGUAAAAUUGCAGUUGAAACUGGCAGUCUUGAGUACAGUAGAGGUGGGCGGAAUUCGUGGUGUAGCGGUGAAAUGCUUAGAUAUCACGAAGAACUCCGAUUGCGAAGGCAGCUCACUGGACUGCAACUGACACUGAGGCUCGAAAGUGUGGGUAUCAAACAGGAUUAGAUACCCCAGUAGUC